rnacentral:misc_RNA from 1 species
UUCCGUAGGUGAACCUGCGGAAGGAUCAUUAAUAAAUUUUUUUUGGAAAUAAAAAAAAAUAAUAAUCAUCCUACCUUUGUGAAUUGUUUGUUGAAUAAUUUUUAAAAUUAUUUAUUGUCAUCCAAGUGGAAAGUUGUAAAGACGAAGACUUGGAGCGGCAUAAAUAAGUUAAAGACUUUUUUAAAAUUAAACUUUUGUAUUCAUUUGUCUAAAUAAUUUUAUAAUAUAUAAAACAACUUUGACAAUGGAUUCUUGUUCUCGCAACGAUGAAGAACGUAGCAAAAUCGAUAAGUAAUGUGAAUUGCAGAAUACGUGAAUCAUCGAUCUCGAACGCAUAUUGCACUUUUUAGUUUACUAAAAGUAUGUCUGUUUGAGUAUCAGUAAAAUAUUCCAUAAAUUUUAAUUUAUGGUUAUGAGUGUUUACAACGAUAAACAAGUUGUUCACUUUAAUUGAUUUUUUGAGAAAUUCUAAUUCAAAUAAUUGGAUAAAAUUUUCCCGUAAAAAGGAAUAACUAUACAAGUUAAUAAGAAUUUAGUGAUUCUUUAUGAAAAGGAAUUUAUUAAAUAACUGAUCUCAAAUCAGAUAAGAGUACCCGCUGAACUAGCAUAUCAAUAACGGAGGAAAGAAACUAACAAGGAUUCCCUAGUAACGGCAGUGAAGCGGGAAGAGCUCAAAUUGAAAUCUUAAAGGGUUCCUUUACGAAUUGUAGUUUAAAGAAGUGUUUCUGUUGAGGUUUGGUAAAGUUCUUGAUAGGCAUCAUAGAGGGUGAGAAUCCCGUAUUGACCUUACUUCAACUUUGUGAUACACUUCAAGAGUCGAUUGUUGGGAUGCAGUCCAAAUGGGUGUAAAUUUCAUCUAAAGCUAAUAUUGGCGAGAGACGAUAGCGACAAGUACCGUGAGGGAAAGAUGAAAGAACUUUGAAAGAGAGUUAAACAGUACGUGAAAUUGUCAAAGGAAGCGUUGACACAGUGUUGUUUUCUGAAAUCAAUUAAAGAACGUUUAUGCUAAGUUGUUAGACUUAUCAGCUAACUGUUUAGUUUUGAGCUUUUCUUUAAUGCACUUUCAGUUAACAAGUCAACAUCAAUUUCUUUUGCUGUAAAAAAGCUGAGGAAGUGGCUUGAGAUUCGUCUUAAGUGUUUAGCCCUUGCCUAGCAGUCGGAGAGAUUGAGGUCUGCAGCGUAGAUCCUUCGGGCUAAAUGCAUUUGGCUAGUUAUAGCUUUAUAGACAACUUGUUGACUAUGAUUUCUGUAGCUACUCGCUUAUUUAUUUACUACGCUUAGGAUGU